rnacentral:rRNA from 1 species
GAUGAACGCUGGCGGCGUGCCUAAUACAUGCAAGUCGAGCGAACAGACGAGGAGCUUGCUCCUCUGACGUUAGCGGCGGACGGGUGAGUAACACGUGGAUAACCUACCUAUAAGACUGGGAUAACUUCGGGAAACCGGAGCUAAUACCGGAUAAUAUAUUGAACCGCAUGGUUCAAUAGUGAAAGACGGUUUUGCUGUCACUUCUAGAUGGAUCCGCGCCGCAUUAGCUAGUUGGUAAGGUAACGGCUUACCAAGGCAACGAUGCGUAGCCGACCUGAGAGGGUGAUCGGCCACACUGGGACUGAGACACGGUCCAGACUCCUACGGGAGGCAGCAGUAGGGAAUCUUCCGCAAUGGGCGGAAGCCUGACGGAGCAACGCCGCGUGAGUGAGGAAGGUCUUCGGAUCGUAAAACUCUGUUAUUAGGGAAGAACAAAUGUGUAAGUAACUAUGCACGUCUUGACGGUACCUGAUCAGAAAGCCACGGCUAACUACGUG